ACGCCUGUUCCCAUGAGAUCCUCGGCGCCUAACACAGGCCCGUAGCGGGCAUCCUCUGGAAUCACACGCCGACUGAACGGGGUGCGAGCCAUAGGUCUGGCAGCAAGAGCCCGCUCUCUCCCCCUGGCUUUCGGCGCACAAAAGGCUGAGGAGCAAGAGAAGCAGGAGUCUUGAGAGCAGGUCGCCAGCUCUACGGCCUCAACCCCACACCUUCCCCCGGGCUCCCCCGUCUGUCCGCGGACCCGGUGCGGUCGCAUUUACACGCUGCGUUCGGCUGGAGUCUGGAUGUGAGCGUCAGGGGCGCAGCAUCUCAGCUCCUCAUUCAGCUCCAACAUGGCUCUCAGCAGACCCCGGUGGUACUAUCCAUCCUCUCUCUACACUCCCCUCGCCACCCCUCCCCCCCGCUCCCCCAUCCUCCGUUCAGAUAAAUGGGAAACGGAAUGGUUUAUCCCAAUACGGAUGACUUACACUUCCCUUUUCUUUCACGCCACAUCCUCUUUUAGCAGGUGACUUUUGACCAUUUUUAGGGAUCAAAUUUAGCGUCUGGGGUUAUUCAUGUGUAUGGCUCAACCUAACAACUUAACAUUUAAUCACUGACAGAAGAUGAAUUGAGACUACAUUAAGCUUUUUAAAAUUUUAUAUAACCAAUGUGCUUCAUCUGAAUAUUUUCCUUAUAUUGUAUUGUUUCGUAUUAUUUAAAAUUUAUAUUAUGUUGUUAUCGUCAUUUAGUAGGUCUAAUUGGGAUUUAUUUGCGGAAUUUAACCGGUACUCUCACGGUGAUAUAAUUCGUUGUUCUUCCAAUAAUUUGACCACUUAUGUUAUUUCAAUAUGUUUCUGUAGCUAUGUCGGCCAAAACAUGGAGUCUGUCGGGGGAAAAAAUAAAAACUCCCGACACCAUAUCAGAGUUAACUUGCCAACGGUACAAUACUCGCCUCAGAUGAUGUGUAUGCUGUAUAUCAUUCAAAUAUAAUAUAUUUAAUUUAUGUUUAUUCUGUAUCCAGGGUACAAUAUCCUGGGACUGAAAAACAAUGGAAAUACAUUAUUUAAUUAACACUUCUUAUGAGAUUGGCGUUGGCAAGGUGUCGAUUCAUCCUAUUUAUCUACAUGUAUUUAAAACGUAACGCCUCUAAAUGAAAUUACA